rnacentral:lncRNA from 1 species
UGCUCAGAGUUCCUGCACUGAGCGCUUUCGUUUCUUGGUUUUGUGUGUGUGUGUGAGCUAUGGCUCGUUCCUCAAGGGCUCUCUUGGAACCUAGUGUGGGAACCCACGGGUGCCGGGCACCCUCGGUGGUAUCAGAGAGGCAGGUAAUUUCCAGUGUGCGGAGAGGUGACAUCCUAGGGGCUGGGGUGGUCUGAGAUUAUGGUUCCCUGACACCUAUUCGUAAAGAGUUCGAGCCUGCGUUUGAGAAGGUUAUUUACUUACAUACCUCAAGACUACGCUAUGGAAAUAAAAUUUAAAGAUGAUGGAUGAGGACAUCGGCAGCUUCUGGACAAGCAUGCAUGGGAUCCUGGGUUCAAUACCCCGUGGCAGCAAAAAUGAAAUAAUUGAAUCGGGCAUGGUAACACAUGUUUGUAACCUCAGCAGGUAGUUAGCAGGGUGCCCCCAUUAUAUUGGGAGUGGAGAGCCAGCCUGGGCUGCCAGAGAAUCAAUCUCUCUCUCUCCCUCUCUCUCUUCAGAUCUUCUUAGGGUUAUUAUUGCAGCUAUGACAACUGUUGUUAAAACAAGACAAAGAGGCUCAAACCCAAGCUCCUUGAAUGACAAAAACGAAAGAAUCAACCCCCACGACUGUUUGACUCAUGAAAUGAACAAGUCCUAAAGAUCUGUGGAUCCAACAGUUUUUGGUCGUGGCUACUAAGUCAUUGGGAAGAACCUUACCAGUGACACAUACUUAAGGUUGUUAAAGUUUCUAUUUCCCACUGUCCAAGAGUUCUUGCAAACUCGUUGGAACAGUGUUUCUCAACUUUUGGCUGGAGAUCCUUAUUCAAAGGUUACCUAAGACCAUCUGAAAAGAGGGAGUCACCUGGGCUGUCAUGUUGUAAGAAACUAAAGCCUGCAUUUCUGCUGCUUGCACCACUGAAAUCCUGGAGGCCAAAUGAUCACAACACUAUCCUCUUAUCCCCAUGGAACUGGAGCAGUGAGCAGAUUCUUCACGGAAGAGUUGGCAC